UGUAAUACCCAUAGACCCCCACCCCCCAGCAGUCCUAUUCUUCUCCAUAUACACCAACUAACGAAGCCCACCAAAAUGAGUGACCCCUUCCAUCUCUAUUGUUGGUGAACUCACUGAAAACGAGUGAGCUGCGCCCCUAAAUUUCCAACGAACCCGACCUGGUAAAAGGACCCCUCAGCCGCACCCUAUCAGAAAAUAGAGAGAACGAUCCAGCCCCCCACCCUCAAGAACACCCAGAUACAAACACACACAUAUACGAAGGGGGGAAUGACCAGAUCUGAAUUCAAAAAUUAGAAGGUUGGAUUGAGUCGAGUUCGUCGAGGUUGUCGCUCGUAGUUCGAGUUUCCGUCGGCGUCUCUUGUGUAUUCUGUUCGGAAGAAAUUUGUAAUUGGAAAAGCUCAAUUACAGGUCUAAUUCUUACACUACCUUUUGAAUGUUUAUUGUAAUUCUUGUGGAUGUUGGGUGAAGAUGGAAUGCACUCCAAUUGUUUUCUAUGCUUGAUUAUUUGUUUGCAAUUUGAUUCCCCAUUUUAGCCUAUUUUUUGAUUCGUAAUCUUACAUCUAUUAACUGGUUCAAUCCAUUCAUCAAAAAAUGGUGCAUUACUUUCUUAGGCUGCUGCUGCUGAUUUUCUGUCUCUAAUUUCAUUCUUUUGGCAUCAUUAUAAUACUGAUGAUGAACUUUUGAUGAUUCAUUUAAGCUUUGAAGUUGUAAGUAAGAAGAAAUUGAGUGUCCUGUAUUCUGUGAUAGAGAGUAAGUCUUCUGUUUCAUUGGUAAAGCCAUUGUUAAUGGGUUUCAACUUGUUUGAUUAAGUCUGUUGUUUGUUAUUUUUUAAUGCCAAAAGGAUAUUUAUCUCCAUUAUGUUUGUAAGCAUCUGGCAUUUUAUUAAUUGAAUUGAAUGCAGCUUGACUACUGUGGUUUAUUCGUGCAAUCAAUUUCUAGUGUUAAUGUUGAAUUUGGUUUGCUCUGUUGUGGUUUUUAAGUUUUAGAUCUGUGACUAUUUAACUAAGAUGUUUACAUUGGCUAGUGUAAAAAGAAAUUCUUUGUUGAAGAAAUGCUUCCGAGCACUUUGCUGAAGAAUAGUGUAUUAAUUAAUUUAAUUGAAAUUGUUUUAACUGUUAUCCUUUUGACGGUUAUCUAUUGUGGCUGGAAUAAUUAUUUUAGGAAAUUAGUCAAAAAAAUGGAGUAGUACAAUCAGGAGCACUCUUUCUAGAGUUUUUUUUUGUCCAUAUGUGCAUAUAUAUUUUUAUUGGGCGAUUUUGUGGAAAACAAUUACUACGCGGUUUAAAUUUAUAUGACUUUAUUUGAUUGAGCGACUUUAUCUUUGCAAUAAUCUUGAAGUAGCUUAGAAAGGAAAAAUAUGAUAUACGUAGUUCUUUUAAUUGAAAGUAUUUCCUUUGAAAUAAAUUAAGGCGCGCCAUUCACACAAUUGAACCACCCAAUAUAUGGCCCUCAUAUUAAUUAUCUUAACUAGUAUAGAAAAUAGCUUAUGAAUAUUCUUAGUUUUCUUUAGGCAUGUUUAAUAUACUAUCAUGGUUGUGGACACAUUCGCGUGACAUGAUUACGAUUUCUAAAAACAAAACUGGAGUAUGCGUUCGCGCAACUUUGGCCAAACUUCCUUAUUAAUAAUAAAUCUUUAUUAAUUGUGGACACGUUCACGUGACAUGAUUUUUGACGCGCCAAACAAACGGGUACAUAUACGCGUGACCCGUUUCAAGAUAAUUUCUUAAUUAAAAGCGGCUAAUGCACAUAGGUUCUAAAUUGAGUAAUUAAACAAUUUGUUUAAGCCAAGUAUUAUCAAAGCAACCGUGCUAGAACCACGGAACUCGGAAGUUCCUAACACCUUCUGCCGGGUUAACAGAAUUUUUUACCCGAAUUUUUGUGUUCACAGACCGUAAAUAGAGUCAAACUUAACCGAUUGGGGAUUUUAAACAAGUGACUUGGGACACCAUAAAUUAUCCCAAGUGGCGACUGUAAUUUAAUAUAACUAAACCCAUUUCGAUUGGCACUUAAAUUGGAAAAAAACUCCCUUAUACCCUUCCGGGAAUAGUAAAAAGGAGGUGUGACAAGUACGGUUUCAGUUUGCAGUAGAGAUGCUUAAGUGCUAUUUGAUCCAGGGUCUACAUACUCCUAUGUGUCAUAUUAUUUUUCUACGUAUUUGGUUAUGCAUCGUAAUUCUUUGAGUGCUCAUGUAUAUGUGUCCACACCUGUGGGUGAUUCUAUUGUUGUAGAUCGUGUCUAUUGCGUGUGUGUGGUUAUUAUUGGGGGUCUUGAGGCCUGUGUAGAUCUCCUACUUCUGGAUAUGGUCGAUUUUGAUGUCAUCUUGGGAUAGAUUGGUUUUCACCUUAUCAUGCUAUAUUGCACUAUCACGCCAAGACCGUGAACUUAGCCUUACCAGGGUUGCCUCGAGUGGAGUGAAGGGGGACUCUUGGUCAUUUUACCAGUAGGGUCAUUUCUAAUAUAAAGGCUCGGUGUAUGGUCAAGAAGGGGUGUUUGGCUUAUUUGGCUUAUGUUCGUGAUUCUAGUGCAGAGGUUCCUUCUAUGGAGUCCAUACCAGUUGUUCGUGAAUUUCUAGAGGUAUUUCCUACAGAACUGUCAGGGAUGCCACCUGACAAGGAUAUUGACUUUUGCAUCGAUGUGGCUCUGGGCACUCAACCCAUUUCCAUUCGGCCAUACCACAUGGCCCCGCCAGAGUUGAAAGAAUUGAAGGAAUAGUUGCAAGAGUUUGCAAUACUUGUUCAAGCAGAAGGAGCUAAAUUUGAGGCAGCGGAGGUGGUUGUAGCUAUUGAAAGACUAUGAUAUCACCAUCUUGUAUCAUCCUGGGAAGGCCAAUGUAGUGGUCAAUGCUUUGAGUAGGAAGUCAGCCAGUAUGGGCAGCCUUGCAUAUAUUCCAGUCGGUGAGAGACCGCUUGCUUUGGAAGUUCAGGCUUUAGCCAAUCAAUUUAUGAGGUUGGAUAUUUAUGAUCCCGACCGUGUUCUAGCUUGCACAGUCGCUCGGUCUUUAUUAUUUGACAAAAUCAGAGAUCGGCAGUAUGAUGAUCCUCAUUUGCUUGCCCUUAGGGACACAGUGCAACACGAAGAUGCCAAGAAGGUUUCAGUUGGAGAUGAUAGAGUUUUGAGGAUGCAGGGUCGUGUUUACGUGCCUAAUGUGGAUGGACUUCGUGAGUUGAUUCAAGAGGAUGCCCAUAGUUCCCGAUAUUCUAUUCAUCCAGGCACUGCCAAGAUGUAUCAGAACUUGCAGCAAUAUUAUUGGUGGAUGAGAAUGAAGAAGGAUAUUGUUUCAUAUGUAGCACAGUGUUUGAAUUGUCAGCAGGUAAAGUACGAGCAUCAGAGACCUGGUGGUUUGCUUCAGAAAAUUGAGACUUGAGUGGAAAUGGGAGCGUAUCAUUGUGGACUUAGUCGUUGGACUCCCACGGACUCAGAGGAAAUUCAAUGCAGUAUGGGUUAUUGUGGAUAGGAUGACUAAGUUGGCGUACUUCAUUCUGGUGGUGGUUUCCUAUUCUUCGGAGCGGUGUAGAGAUAUAUAUCCGUGAGAUCAUUCGUCUUCUUGGUGUGCCCGUGUCUAUCAUUUCUAAUUGGGGUACGCAAUUUACCUCGCAUUUCUUGAGGGCAGUUCCACGUGAGUUGCGUACGCGGGUCAAGUUGAGCACACCAUUUCAUCCUCCGAUGGAUGGACAGUCCGAACGUACUAUUUAGAUUUUGGAGGACAUGCUUCGAGCCUGAGUUAUUGACUUUGGAGGUUAUUGGGAUCAGUUUUUACCGUUAGCGAAGUUUGCCUACAAUAACAGCUAUCAGUCGAGCAUCCAGAUGGCCCUUUAUGAGGCAUUAUAUGGGAGACAGUGUCGAUCUCCAGUUGGGUAAUUUGAGCUGGGGGAGGCUCGGUUGUUGGUUACAGAUAUGGUAUAGGAUUCCUUGGACAAGGUUAAGAUCAUUCAGGAUAGACUUCAUAUAGCCCAGUCCAUGUAAAAGAAUUAUACCGAUUGUAAGGUUCGUGAUGUGGCAUUCAUGGUCAGAGAGCGAGUAUUGCUUCGAGUGUCGCCCAUGAAGGGCGUGAUGAGAUUUGGGAAGAAGGGCAAGCGAAGCCCUAGGCUCAUCGGGCCUUAUGAGAUCCUUGAUCGAGUGAGAGAGGUGGCUUACAGACUUGCAUUGUCGUCGGGCUUAUCAGCGGUGCAUCCAGUGUUUCAUGUUUCCAUGCUUCGGAAGUAUUACGGCGAUCCAUCCCACGUGUUAGACUUUAGCACUGUCUAGUAGGACAAGGAUUUGACCUACGAGGAGGAGCCGGCAACUAUUCUAGACCGGCAGGUUUGACAGUUGAGAUUGAAGAUUUAUCUAUCAGUUCGUGUGUAAUGGAGAGGUCUGACCAUUGAAGCAGCUACCUAGGAGUCCGAGUUCGAUAUGUGGAGCCUAUAUCCCUAUCUUUUCACCAACUCAGGUACUUUUCUAUGUCCGUUCGUGGACGAACGGUUGUUUUAGAGGUGGAGAAUGUGAUGACCCAAAGGGUUAUGUUUUGUUUAUAAUCCAAAUCCGGGUUUUGAGGCCUUGAAAACCUUAUUUUACUUCUCCUCAUUUUGCGUGCAUUGUCUGAGCGCAUUUUCCGAAAAGCCGUUAUGUAAAAUCUAAGGAAAAUGUAGAAUUUUGCCUUUUAAAUUUAUUAAACUUGACUUUGGUCAACGUUUUUGCUAAAUGAACCCAGACGCGUGAUUUGACGGUCCCUUAGGGUCCAUAGUAAAAUAUGGGACUUGGGCGUAUGCUUGGAAUCGAAGUCCGAGGUCCCUAGCCCGAGAAAUGAAUUUUGGUUCUGAAGCCCGGUAUUGGUUUUUUAUAGUAUUUAAGUCGUAUCUGUGAAAUUUGGUGGAAAACCGGAAGAGAUUUGUUAUAAUUCGAAUCUUGGUUGAGAAAAUAGAAACUUUGAACUAUCUUGAGAAUUUCAUGAGUUUUGGUGCUAAAUUCGUUGUUUAAGAUGUUAUUUUGGCGAUUUGAUUGCACGAACAAGUUCGUAUGAUAUUUUUAGACCUGUGUGAAUAUUUGGUUUGGAGCCCCGAGGGCUCGGGUGAGUUUCGGAUAGGCUACGUGUGUUUUGGAACUUAGAAAAUAUUGCUGGUAUGCUUCAGCUGUUGCAGGCGUCUGAUCUCACAAUUGCUAGAUCAGGCUUUGCAAUUGCGAGCUUCACAGGCUUGGCAAUUGCGAGCCUUUCAUUGCAAAUGCGACCAAAAGGUUGGGCCAGUAUGUUCGCAUUUGCGAAAUCAACAGGGAGGGUAAACCUUCGCAAUUGCGACAGUAGGAGACAUGCGGCACGUUCACAUUUGCGAAGCCUAUCUCGCAUUUGCGAGCUUUGCAAUUGAGGUCGGAUUUCAAAACCAAUUGCAUAUUUGGGUUCGUGGGUGAAUGGGUAGUUUGGUUUUGGUUCGAACUUCGAGUUUUGACCAAGCGGUCCCAGGGUUAGUUUUUGACUUUUUGUGGAAAAUAUUGGAAAAUCUAUACUCAUGCAUUAAAAUUGGUUUAUUUAGCGUUAAUUGAUGUUAAUUAAUUAAUUCUGCAUAGAUUCAGGCGAUUUGGAAGUGAAAAUCAAAGGAAAAGCGGUAAUUGAGGCUUGAUUAUUG
rnacentral:lncRNA from 1 species